rnacentral:rRNA from 1 species
CGGCUAACUUCGUGCCAGCAGCCGCGGUAAUACGAAGGUCCCAAGCGUUGUUCGGAAUCACUGGGCGUAAAGCGUGUGUAGGCUGCGCGGAAAGUCAAAUGUGAAAGCCCGGGGCUCAACCUCGGAACUGCAUUCGAUACUCCCGUGCUAGAGUAAUGGAGAGGUAAGUGGAAUUCCUGGUGUAGCAGUGAAAUGCGUGGAUAUCAGGAGGAACAUCAAUGGCGAAGGCAACUUACUGGACAUUUACUGACGCUCAGACACGAAGGCUAGGGUAGCGAAAGGGAUUAGAUACCCCUGUAGUCCUAGCAGUAAACGGUGCUCGCUUGGUGUGGGAGGAUUCGACCCCUUCUGUGCCGGAGCUAACGCGUUAAGCGAGCCGCCUGGGAAGUACGGUCGCAAGACUAAAACUCAAAGAAAUUGACGGGGACCCGCACAAGCGGUGGAGUAUGUGGCUUAAUUCGAUGCAACGCGAAGAACCUUACCUAGGCUUGACAUGCUUGUCGUACUCUCCCGAAAAGGAGAGGUCACUUCGGGUGGACAAUGCACAGGUGCUGCAUGGCCGUCGUCAGCUCGUGUCGUGAGAUGUUUGGUUAAGUCCAGCACCGAGCGCAACCCCUGUGAACUGUUGCCAGCGCGUAAAGGCGGGGACUCUG